rnacentral:rRNA from 1 species
GUGAGGAAUAUUGCGCAAUGGAGGCAACUCUGACGCAGCCAUGCUGCGUGCAGGAAGAAGGCGCUACGCGUUGUAAACUGCUUUUAACCGGGAAGAAACCCCAGGACGUGUCCUGGGUUGACGGUACCGGAGGAAUAAGCACCGGCUAACUUCGUGCCAGCAGCCGCGGUAAUACGAAGGGUGCAAGCGUUAUCCGGAUUCAUUGGGUUUAAAGGGUGCGUAGGCGGAGCGUUAAGUCAGUGGUGAAAUCCUGCAGCUUAACUGUAGACUUGCCAUUGAUACUGGCGCUCUUGAGUGCGCUUGAAGUGGGCGGAAUGUGCCGUGUAGCGGUGAAAUGCUUAGAUAUGGCACAGAACACCAAUUGCGAAGGCAGCUCACUAAGGCGAUACUGACGUUGAGGCACGAAAGCGUGGGGAUCGAACAGGAUUAGAAACCCGGGUAGUCC